rnacentral:rRNA from 1 species
UCUUUGCUGACGAGUGGCGGACGGGUGAGUAAUGUCUGGGAAACUGCCUGAUGGAGGGGGAUAACUACUGGAAACGGUAGCUAAUACCGCAUAACGUCGCAAGACCAAAGAGGGGGACCUUCGGGCCUCUUGCCAUCGGAUGUGCCCAGAUGGGAUUAGCUAGUAGGUGGGGUAACGGCUCACCUAGGCGACGAUCCCUAGCUGGUCUGAGAGGAUGACCAGCCACACUGGAACUGAGACACGGUCCAGACUCCUACGGGAGGCAGCAGUGGGGAAUAUUGCACAAUGGGCGCAAGCCUGAUGCAGCCAUGCCGCGUGUAUGAAGAAGGCCUUCGGGUUGUAAAGUACUUUCAGCGGGGAGGAAGGGAGUAAAGUUAAUACCUUUGCUCAUUGACGUUACCCGCAGAAGAAGCACCGGCUAACUCCGUGCCAGCAGCCGCGGUAAUACGGAGGGUGCAAGCGUUAAUCGGAAUUACUGGGCGUAAAGCGCACGCAGGCGGUUUGUUAAGUCAGAUGUGAAAUCCC